rnacentral:rRNA from 1 species
AUACGGAGGGGGUUAGCGUUGUUCGGAAUUACUGGGCGUAAAGCGCACGUAGGCGGAUUAGAAAGUUAGAGGUGAAAUCCCGGGGCUCAACCCCGGAACUGCCUUUAAAACUACUAGUCUAGAGUUCGAGAGAGGUGAGUGGAAUUCCGAGUGUAGAGGUGAAAUUCGUAGAUAUCGAGAGGAACACCAGUGGCGAAGGCGAGUCUCUGGACGAUUCCUGACACUGAGGCACGAAAGCUAGGGGAGCAAACAGGAUUAGAUACCCUGGUAGUCCUAGCCGUAAACGGUGCACACUUGCUGUAGGAGGAUUCGACCCCUUCUGUGGCGGAGCAAACGCGUUAAGUGUGCCGCCUGGGGAGUACGGUCGCAAGAUUAAAACUCAAAGAAAUUGACGGGGGCCUGCACAAGCGGUGGAGUAUGUGGCUUAAAUUCGAUGCAACGCGAAGAACCUUACCUGGCCUUGACAUGCAUCUCUAAGCGUGUGAAAGCACGUGACCCUUCGGGGAAUUUGCACAGGUGCUGC